rnacentral:rRNA from 1 species
AUGCCCAGCCGUAAAAUAUUAACUUACAUCAUAAACCGCCUGAGAACUACGAGCACACGCUUAAAACUCAAAGGACUUGACGGUGUCCCAUCCAACUAGAGGAGCCUGUUCUGUAAUCGAUAAUCCCCGAUAAACCUCACCACUUUUAGCUUAUCAGUCUGUAUACCUCCGUCGAAAGCUUACCCUGUGAACGAUCAUUAGUAAGCAAUAAGGUUUAUCCACCAAAACGUCAGGUCAAGGUGCAGCUUACGAAGUGGGAAGAAAUGGGCUACAAUUUCUAAACUAGAACAAACGAAAAGAUUUGUAUGAAAUAUAAUCAUGAAGGCGGAUUUAGUAGUAAAAAGGAAAUAGAGUGUUYUUUUUAAUCAAACACUGGGACAUGUACACA